rnacentral:rRNA from 1 species
AUUGAACGCUGGCGGCAGGCCUAACACAUGCAAGUCGAGCGGAUGAAGGGAGCUUGCUCCUGGAUUCAGCGGCGGACGGGUGAGUAAUGCCUAGGAAUCUGCCUGGUAGUGGGGGAUAACGUCCGGAAACGGGCGCUAAUACCGCAUACGUCCUGAGGGAGAAGGUGGGGGAUCUUCGGACCUCACGCUAUCAGAUGAGCCUAGGUCGGAUUGGCUAGUUGGUGGGGUAAAGGCCUACCAAGGCGACGAUCCGUAACUGGUCUGAGAGGAUGAUCAGUCACACUGGAACUGAGACACGGUCCAGACUCCUACGGGAGGCAGCAGUGGGGAAUAUUGGACAAUGGGCGAAAGCCUGAUCCAGCCAUGCCGCGUGUGUGAAGAAGGUCUUCGGAUUGUAAAGCACUUUAAGUUGGGAGGAAGGGCAGUAAGUUAAUACCUUGCUGUUUUGACGUUACCAACAGAAUAAGCACCGGCUAACUUCGUG